GGAAUAUAAAAACCCGUCUCUUAACUUUUAAUUAAAAAAGCUAAUAACCGGUUAUUAAAUAAGAGUUUUAAGAGCUGAUUUUUAUCUUUUGUAGUUAAAAGUUAAGAAACGGGUUUUUAUAUUCC
rfam:Brassica oleracea var. oleracea cultivar TO1000 chromosome C7, whole genome shotgun sequence